UACGUAGGGUCCGAGCGUUGUCCGGAAUUACUGGGCGUAAAGCGCGCGCAGGCGGCCCGCGAUGUGUCACGUGAAAGCCCCGGGCUCAACCCGGGAGGGUCGUGGCAAACCGGCGGGCUUGAGGCCGGUAGAGGUGGGUGGAACUCCUGGUGGAGUGGUGAAAUGCGUAGAGAUCAGGAAGAACACCCGUGGCGAAGGCGGCCCACUGGGCCGGUACUGACGCUGAGGCGCGAAGGCGUGGGGAGCGAACGGG
rnacentral:rRNA from 1 species